rnacentral:lncRNA from 1 species
CAGCAGAGAGGCAUGCCCGACUCAUCUUGCCCCCAUUUCACAAGUGAAACCUGGGAUUAGAAAAAUAAUAAAAGGCCAUCUCACCUGUGUUCCUUAUUUAUUACACAUUAUACAGGUAUCUGGUUGCAAAACCCGAACUCCUACUCCUGUCUCUUGGUGAGCGUUUAAGGCAGAACACACUGACCCGCCUCAGCAGAUAACAUCGGCAUUCAGAGAGGAUUUCCAAGUGCUAACAUUCUGGGCUAUCAACUCGGACAUCCUUUCCUAGACUUCCUUUGGGCCUAGAUACAACACCUGAAUCCCUCUCAACUCAGGACCCUACUCAGACCUUACCAACUGAUUGGAAUCAGCUCUUGAGAUCAACUCAGCCACCCUUAGCUUAGGAAUACCAGGAGUCCAGCAAUCACUGCACACGGCAGCUACUUUUUGGCAGAUUCGGAGCCCAUCUAGAGUACGGGUGGCAAGUGAUGGCACCACCAAUGAGGCGGACACCGGCUGUCUCAUCUCUCAAGAAGACGUGUUGAAUGAUCGGAUCGUGGAUCAUCUAAAUUAUGCCCCGUGCAGUCUAACACAUAAUAGAACCUAGAAGGGAUUUGCCACACCAGGAGUUAAUUAGACUUCUGGUUCCCAAGGUGCCGUGGAACGUCUCUUGACUUUGUGCUCAUUAAGUUUUACUGUAAUGAGGGGUUGGAUGCCUUUACUUCUCAUUAGAAUAUACCGUGAGAAGUUAAGUUGCCUGAUCAUUGUUGUAUUCCCAUUGCUACAAUAUACCUGGAUCAAAUAAUAUUAAGA